GAUGAAGAACGCAGUAAAAUGCGAUAAUUAAUGUGAAUUGCAGAAUUCAGUGAAUCAUCGAGUCUUUGAACGCACAUUGCGCCCCCUGGUAUUCCGGGGGGCAUGCCUGUCCGAGCGUCAUUGCUGCCCUCAAGCACGGCUUGUGUGUUGGGCUUCCGUCCCCGGCAACGGGGACGGGCCCAAAAGGCAGUGGCGGCACCAUGUCUGGUCCUCGAGCGUAUGGGGCUUUGUCACCCGCUCCCGUAGGUCCAGCUGGCAGCUAGCCUCGCAACCAAUCUUUUUAACCAGGUUGACCUCGGAUCAGGUAGGGAUACCCGCUGAACUUAAGCAUAUCAAUAAGCGGAGGA
rnacentral:misc_RNA from 1 species